UUUCCGUAGGUGAACCUGCGGAAGGAUCAUUAAAAAAUUGGACUCCAUUGGUGAGUUCAUUAAUAAUCCCUACCCUUUGUGAAUUUGUUUGUUUGAAUAAUUUUUUUUCCAAAAAAAAUUAUUGAAUGUCUUUCCUUGUUUUGGUGGAGCUUGUAAAGUGAAACCAGGCAGGGGAAUGGCAAACAAUAAUUAUUUUUGAAAAAGACCUUUUUUUAAAAUUAAACUUUUUGUAUUCAUUUGUCUAAAAUUAAUUUUUAUAAUAUAAAAACAACUUUUGACAAUGGAUCUCUUGGUUCUCGCAACGAUGAAGAACGCAGCAAAAUGCGAUAAGUAGUGUGAAUUGCAGAAUACGUGAAUCAUCGAAUCUUCGAACGCAUAUUGCACUUUUUUAGUUUACUAAAAAAGUAUGUCUGUUUGAGUAUCAGUAAAAUAUUCUCAUAAAAAACAUUGUUUUUUUUAUGGUUAUGAGUGUUUUACAACGAUAACAAGUUGUUUCACUUUAAAUUCUUUGUUAUCAAAAAAAUCAUUAAAAGCUAAUUUUAAAGAUUUUUUAAAAUUGGAUAAAAUUUUCCCGUAAAAAGGAAUAACCUAAACAAUUUUAAAAAAUUAAAAUUGGUUUGAUUUUUUUUGAAACCCAAAGGAAAAAAAAACGAAAUUAACUUGAUCUCAAAUCAGAUAAGAGUACCCGCUGAACUUAAGCAUAUCAAUAAGCGGAGGAAAAGAAACUAACUAGGAUUCCCUCAGUAACGGCGAGUGAAGCGGGAAGAGCUCAAAUUUGAAAUCUUCAAGGUUUUACCUUGACGAAUUGUAGUUUAAAGAAGUGUUUUCUGUUGGAGUUUUGGUAAAAGUUCUUUGGAAAAGGACAUCAUAGAGGGUGAGAAUCCCGUAUUUGACCAUUAUCUCCAGCUUUGUGAUACACUUUCAAAGAGUCGGAUUGUUUGGGAAUGCAGUCCAAAAUGGGUGGUAAAUUUCAUCUAAAGCUAAAUACUGGCGAGAGACCGAUAGCGAACAAGUACCGUGAGGGAAAGAUGAAAAGAACUUUGAAAAGAGAGUUAAACAGUACGUGAAAUUGUCAAAAGGGAAGCGUUCGACACCAGUGUUGUUUUCUCUAAAAUCAAUUAAAAAAGGCCGGAUUUUGUGUUGUAUUGACUUUAUCAGCUUUCUGCACUCUUUUCUUGUCUUUUUUAAUGCAUUUUUCGUUUAACAAGUCAACAUCGAUUUCUUUUGUUGUAAAAGGGUCAUUGGAAGGUGGCUUUCUUUCCGGAGAAAGUGUUUAUAGCCUUUGGCCUCUGCAAUCGGAGAGAUUGAGGUCUGCAGCGUAGAUCCUUCGGGGUUAGAUACAUUUGUGCUAAGUUAUAGCCUUUCAUAGACAACUUGUUGACUAUGAUCAGUCAUGUAGCUUACUCGCUUAUGCUAUUU
rnacentral:misc_RNA from 1 species